rnacentral:rRNA from 1 species
UACGUAGGGUGCGAGCGUUGUCCGGAAUUAUUGGGCGUAAAGAGCUCGUAGGCGGCCUGUCGCGUCGGAUGUGAAAGCCCGGGGCUCAACCCCGGGUGUGCAGUGGGUACGGGCAGGCUGGAGUGCAGUAGGGGAGACUGGAAUUCCUGGUGUAGCGGUGAAAUGCGCAGAUAUCAGGAGGAACACCGAUGGCGAAGGCAGGUCUCUGGGCUGUUACUGACGCUGAGGAGCGAAAGCGUGGGGAGCAAACAGG